AUAGUGAGUGAGUUCGCAGGAGAUCUGGUUGUUUAAAAGUGUGUAGCACUUCCCCCUUCGCUGUCUCUCUCCUGCUCUGCCAUAUGAAGAUGUGCCUGCUUCUUCUUCACUUCUGCCUGAUUGUGAAUUCCCUGAGGCCUCCCUAGCCAUGCUUCCUGCACAGCCUGCAGAACUAUGUGUGGAGAAGCUUUACCGUACACUAAUAUUAACUAUAUGUGUAAGUAAAAGAAGACUUUCACUGUGACCCUGAAAUCUCAUCUUGCUACAUGAAUGAAAUUUGACAAGAAAUUCGAAAUUUGGCAGGAAAAACAUACCCAAGUUAAAAAAUUACACCUUUGUGGAGAGAAUCCACAGACCCUUUGAAGGAACCCGAUCACUGCUGCAGGCUCCCAGAGACACCAGAAAAACUAUGCAGUAUAUUUUAAAUCCUUAAAGAAAUGAUGAAGACAUCCUGAAACAGAGUUCAACGGACUCCUAAUUAUAAACUCUGAGGCAAAUAUAUACAAUAACAUAUUCUAUUUUAAUAAUUCCUUGUCACCAGCCUUGAUUUUAUCUUCUUUUCUUUUACCUCCCUCUGUGAAGAUUCAUUUGGUAUUUCUUUCAUUCAUUAGACUCCUUUACAUUAGGUAUUUCCAUGUAUUUUACAAUGACACUCUGAACUCCCAUCUCUGCUGAAGAUAAUGUUUAGCUACUAUAUCUAGCACUGGAAGCUAUGGCACCUUCAUUUCUGCUGAUCCUUGUCAGAAAAAAAUUACCAGCCUCAGCCAAGAUGUCAGGGGCUUCAUGUGUGGGUUAGCAGUAAAACACACCCAAUAAAUCACCACCAGUGAACUGUCUAAACAAAUCCUUAUUUCAACCCUUUCCUCCAUCUCUUUUGCCUAUAUCUCUCCCCCAGCACUAAGCCUUCCCAUGGAGUUUUCUGUUCCACGUUAAUAUUCCACAUCACCAAUACAGUCACAUCAGCAGAUGACUUCUAAUGGACCUAUGGGCAGGUGAAUAACCUCCUUGUGGGGCUUGGACUUUGGUAACGCAGUAUAUCCUGGGCCUACAAGACAAAAAGCUUAUUCAACCUGCUCAAACUGUGUCUUCGAAAUACAUUUUAGAGAUUAGAGACUUGACUGAUCAUAGCAUGGCACCCUGCCUCUAGUUCCCAUGACUUUCCAGACAGAAUCUGCCUUCUCUAAAACCUCCAGGUAUUUCUGAUGAAAGCCCCCCUUCUAGUGCCUUCUCUAGAAAGAAAAAGUAAUGAUGCCAUUUGUAAAUACUGAACCUUCAAAUAUCAUAGCUCAGCUUCUAGACAGUUUCAAUGGCUGAAAGUCUUCAUUCUUUUAAAGAUUGCUUUGAACUUUAAAAACAGUUAAAAUUCAUUGGGCAUCAGAUUCAGUAAGGUAUUCGUGGUAUAUUGGGCUAUAUCACUUUUGGCCAAAAAUGAGGUGUUAACCAGAAAGAAAUGAAUCUUUAUUUUCUGCUUCAUAAACUGGCCUGUGAAAGCAAUUCUAAAAUGGGAACUUCAAGUGUACUUGGGCUAAUGAAUCACUGGAACAAAAAGUAUGACUUAUUUGAAAUGACCCUACUGAUUUGGAUGCAUAUGUUCUACUUAGUGUGUUUGUUUUAAAAAUCUAAAAGCAAUAAUGUCAUUUGUCAAUUUACAAUAGUAGCCAAAGGUGAAACACUUCUGAUAUUAUUUCUCUCAGUGCUCUAUGUUUCUGGGUUUAUACUGGAAUCUCUAUAAAGGUACACAAAGCUGACUACAAUGGCAAUGAUAGUCAUCUUAGAAAAUGUACUAAUAGAAAAGCAGAGAUCUGUCUUUAAUGGCCACUUUGAAAGCUGCAUUACGACACUUUCGUUCAGUGUUAAACUGCUUCUUCACAGUGUUCAAAUAUAAUAAAUCAGAGAUUAAAGUCAGGCUUCUGAUGAACUUACGUGGUACAAAAAUAUUAAUAUAUGUUUUUGAAGUUUGAAGACACUAAAACAGUUAAUAAUGUGUGAAAUUCCAUUUGCUCAUGUACCCUUCUUUCCAUAUCUCUUUUACACCCUGUACAAAAAUGACAGUUAAUUAACAACCUAGCCCAAGAGAAGUGUUUCUAGUAAUAAACAAAAGCUAUUGUCAAAGAAUAUGAAAUUUACCAUGACCAGAAAAAAAAGAGUACUUUGCAGACAAAUUAAACAGAAAUCUUGCAAUUAAAAUGCUUAAGCUGAUAUAAAAUAUAUCUGUAAUUGCAUAUUAUAAAGAAUUUAAAUCAAUAAUAAAAA
rnacentral:antisense_RNA from 1 species